rnacentral:tRNA from 1 species
GUCCUUGUAGCUUACAACCAAAGCAUGGCACUGAAGAUGCUAAGACGCUG